rnacentral:rRNA from 1 species
CCUUAGAUGUUCUGGGCCACACGCGCGUUACACUGACAUAUCAACGAGCAUUUUCCUGACCCGAUGGGGUUGGGUAAUCUUUUAAAUGUAUGUCGUGCUGGGGAUAGAUCAUUGUAAUUAUUGGUCUUGAACGAGGAAUUCCUAGUAAGUGCGGGUCAUCAACUCGCGCUGAUUACGUCCCUGCCCUUUGUACACACCGCCCGUCGCUCCUACCGAUUGAAUGGUCCGGCGAGAACUCAGGAUGGAUAUAGGUCUUGGAUAUCGUUAGAUGUUCCAACUAUAUCCAGAAUUUGUUCAAACCUUACCAUUUAGAGGAAGGAGAAGUCGUAACAAGGUU